rnacentral:rRNA from 1 species
CGUGUAGGCAGUUUCGCAAGUCGGGUGUGAAAGCCCUGGGCUCAACCUAGGAAAUGCACUCGAAACUGCGAGACUUGAGUCCUGGAGAGGAAGGCGGAAUUCUCGGUGUAGAGGUGAAAUUCGUAGAUAUCGAGAGGAACACCGGUGGCGAAGGCGGCCUUCUGGACAGUGACUGACGCUGAGACGCGAAAGCGUGGGGAGCAAACA